rnacentral:rRNA from 1 species
CAGGCCUAACACAUGCAAGUCGAACGGUGAUGCGGAGCUUGCUCCGCGGAUCAGUGGCGAACGGGUGAGUAACACGUGAGUAACCUGCCCUUGACUCUGGGAUAAGCGUUGGAAACGACGUCUAAUACCGGAUAGGACUCCAUCGGGCAUCUGGUGGGGUGGAAAGAUUUUUCGGUCAUGGAUGGACUCGCGGCCUAUCAGCUUGUUGGUGGGGUGAUGGCCUACCAAGGCGACGACGGGUAGCCGGCCUGAGAGGGUGACCGGCCACACUGGGACUGAGACACGGCCCAGACUCCUACGGGGGGCAGCAGUCUAGAGGCUUCGGCAAUGGACGAAAGUCUGACCGAGCGACGCCGCGUGCGGGAUGAAGGGCUUCGGCUUGUAAACCGCUUUUCUUUGGGAAGAAUGCCCGGUUCGUGAAAUCGGGAGGGACGGUACCAGAGGAAUAAGCCCCGGCUAACUCCGUGCCAGCAGCCGCGGUAAU